rnacentral:pre_miRNA from 14 species
GCCCCCAGGACUGGACCGGCCAGCCCCGUCUGGAAGACUAGUGAUUUUGUUGUUGUCUCGCUGUGCUCAACAACAAGUCCCAGUCUGCCGCACGGUGCUGGCCAUGCAGCGGGUGCCCCUUU